rnacentral:rRNA from 1 species
CGGUGGAGCAUGUGGUUUAAUUCGAAUGAUACGCGAGGAACCGUUACCUGGGCUCAAAUGUAUGUUGUACGUAUUCUGAAAGGGAUACUUCUUCGGACAAUAUACAAGGUGCUGCAUGGUUGUCGUCAGCUCGUGCCGUGAGAUGUUGGGUUAAGUCCCGCAACGAGCGCAACCCUUGCCUUUAGUUGCCAGCAGUUCGGCUGGGCACUCUAAAGGGACUGCCGGUGUUAAACCGGAGGAAGGUGGGGAUGACGUCAAGUCCUCAUGGCCUUUAUGACCAGGGCUACACACGUACUACAAUGGCCGAUACAAAGGGCAGCGACACUGCGAGGUGAAGCCAAUCCCGUAAAAUCGGUCUCAGUCCGGAUUGGAGUCUGCAACUCGACUCCAUGAAGUUGGAAUCGCUAGUAAUCGUGGAUCAGCAUGCCACGGUGAAUACGUUCCCGGGCCUU